rnacentral:lncRNA from 1 species
AUGCAGAGACCACGCGGAGCUGGGACCGAAAUCCCGGGCUCGUCUCCCCGCCCCAUCCCGCCACCGCUGAGCACGCCGGCUCCCGGGGAGCCUCGUCUCCGCCGCGCUUCCAGCCCCGGGAGGAACCGGGAAGCUUCAAAAACCAGACGCGCGGGCAGGGAGGGCGCGCGGCCCCCGAGCCCGGCCGGGCAGCCCCUCGCCCCGGCCGGCCCCUCGCCGCCCGAUCCGCGCAAAUGUAUUCAUGUAUUCAUUCCCAAAGUUCCCUCUGCGCUCGAGCGGGUGCCGCUUGUAAUUGCUGGCGGCCAAAAUCUGUUCUGUUUUUUCUGGCUGAGGUACCAGGCAAUCAUCAGCUGUAAUUAUUUCGAGUCUCGUUACAGAUGGAUCUCCGAGCUUUCGGUCUGCAGCAGAAUUCAUUAUUCAAAUGCGAACCCCAGCCUUCUGCGGCGGCGCGCGGGCGGCCGUGGCAUGGGAUGCUGCUCGCCAGAGCCGCCCCGCCGCAGCGCCCCGCGCCCGGAAGCGGCACGCGUUUCGGCUCCGGUUCGGCGACCGCGCGUGCCGGAGGAGGAGCCGCCUCGGCGCUGCGCAUGGCAGCCCGGACGCCUGGGCCCAGCUCGGGGUGCGGAGAGGGCUUGGGGCAGCGUGGCGUCGGAGCAGCUCCUUUCUCUUCCAGCACUGCUGCCAGGCAGGAAAAUCACGGGAGCAUCCUGGGAAAGCCGCCUGCCGUGCUGGCCCCAGCGCGAGCUGACCCGACAGUUUUGCCAGGGCUCUUCCACCCCCAUCCCAAAUUUUCCAGCUUGUCAAAUAUACAACCGCUGUUGCAGAAAGAGGCGGAAUGGCAGAAGUGUCAUUUGCAAAACAAAUCAAUUCCAGUUUAUUUUUUUUCCCUUGUCCAAACCAUGCACUUCAGCAUUUUUUUCGAGGAAAAAGAUUCUGCUUUACAGCGACUUUCCGCUUUCAAACAGGAUGGUAAUUAUUAUUUUAGAACGCAAUAAAACACUGCCGGAACUUCUCGAAGCGAAGCCGUUCAAGGCUGGGUCAUUAACGGGCUGA